rnacentral:lncRNA from 1 species
UCUAGUAAAUCCAAAAAAUCCUAAUUAAAUCCUACUUUCUAAUCUAAUCAACAAUUACACUAAUCAAUUCUAAAUACUAAUUAAACUUAUAAAGUUUCUAAUAAGAAAAAAAAUCCUAAAAUCCUAAUUAUUAUCUAAUUACCAAGCCUAAUUAAUGUCUAAACGCCAAAUCAAUUCUAAAAAUCAACACUAAAAUCCCAAGCUUAAACACCAAGAAGUGGAAUCAAAGUGAAAUAAAAUGUAGUACAACAAGGGGGUAUCGAAAUUGGGCUAGGGGUGUAACUAGCAGAUCCAAGGUCUGCCAGGUCCAAACGAAGUGCCGGUCCAUCCGAAGGCCGAAAGAAAACUUCCUACAGUCCACAAGAAGACGUGACUUGGGUGUAUGGUACGGAUAGCAGGUCGUUUAGGUCGUUUGGGCCUUAAGCCCAAACCUAGUCCAAACUCACAUGGCAGCUACCACCAUAAGUCCUUCUUCUGAGUCUCAGACACUCACUGGUCGGUCGCGUUCACUUCUCUUCCGCUUCGGUUCAAACACUCUCGCGAUUCCGAUGAACAUUAAAGAUCAAUCUCCGAUUUGAACUGAGGACUUCAUUAAUUUUACUGCAAGUCUUCACCGAACUGGGACGCAUCACCGUGAAUUGAGACAAACACGAGCUUCUCCAUAAACGCAACAUGACGCUUCUCUCAUCAUGCUUUUCAGUUCUCUCAUCUCGAAUCUCCAGCAAAAUAAACAACAGGAAUUGAAACUACUCGAAGUUCACACAUCCGGAUCUUGAGUUUGUCAAUCGUCGUCUUUACCAUAUUCGGGAUAAAUCGGCAGUGAAAUACCAUCGGCGUAUGAGGAAGAUCGAGCUAUGAAUUACAGUUGAGUCAAAGAGAAAGCUUACCGUAUUUGAGUUCCGGUGCGGUGGAUCUCUGGGAAUCAGUAGGUACGUUCCAAGCUUUCUUCUCCUUCUUCUAUAAUCUUCUUGCCUUCUUCCAAUGUGUUCGUGUGUGAGAGAUAGAUGAGAGAGACUAACUUGAUAGCAGAGAUCAGAUUCCAAUUUCCGGGGAGUUAUGCGAUUCUGAUUUCUUUGUCUCUAAACAAAAACUUGUGAUUGAAGGUGAGUGAAUGAUUUAUAGAGUGAGAGUGUAACUUAUUAGGGCAGUAGAGUUUGGGGCAGGUGGUUACAAGCUCGGGCACCAUUAUCGAAAUUUUUUCUGAUACAACUCUGUUAAACAAUCAAGCAAUAGUAAGUAUGGAUAAAAGAAAC